rnacentral:misc_RNA from 1 species
GAUGGGUUCUCAAUCCAAGGUCUAUGGGGACCCUGCAGCUGCUGGUUUGUUGUUCUUCAUCUUCUUUAGCUCUAUAGCUUUCUUGCUAGCUAUAUGAUUCUCUCUCUCUUUUUAAGGCUUGAUUCAGUGAUUUCAACAACAACUAAUUUGUUUUGGUAUUAUUUUCAGGUGGGUUUUCUGUGUGGGGCGAUUACUUGCACUUCCACCAUGGAACUAACAUACUUGAUGAGAACCCUUUUUCCUAUAUCUAGCAAACAAAUUUAAACAAGCUAUCAACCAGAUGUUCAUCAUCCGGGUGAGUGGUUUCCUUGCUAUUCUUGUCAAGUGAUCAGUCUUUUGCGAAUUAGUCUGGGCUUCGUUGUCUGUUCGACCUUGUUCAAAAGCAUAUAUAUUUAGGACUAUCAAACCUCCAGUUUAGAUGGGUUUAACACGAACAAGAUCAAGAUGUAAUGAAAACAAACCUGGUUAAUUAGCGUCUUCUAUGAUGGAAUAAUAAGAUCUCAAAAUAUAAUGUAUUAGUUUUGGUCCUUCCUCUAUUGAUAUGCCAUGCAUAUGCACAUGCAUCUUAUGCACCACAUAACCCAUGUAUCUUUUGAGGAAUUAAGUUAUGGAAUAAUGUAAUUACCAUAAGAAGGAAAGGAAAUAGUGAUUAAGGGUUUCAACAUAAAUACAAUCCAAAUAUAUUAGAUUUUCAUAUAUGCAAUGAAAUAUAUAUUUGUCAAUACCAAGUUAUAGGUAGUGGUUCAUAGAAGAGGAAGAAAUACAUGUUUGUUUCUAUAUCUCUGUGAAUUCCUAAUGGAUUUCCUAGAACGAUAGAACUAGCUAGAUGAAAUGAGAUAUAUAUAUAUACUAAGAUUUCCAUCUCAUGAUCUCAUCAAUGUCCGUUAUAUCCUCUGUAAAAGUUUUCUUUUCCAUGAAAGAAGUGAAAAAGAGAAGUUUAUUGCACAAUAAAUUCCUUGUAAAGUAUGUACAAUUAUGAUUCACGAUAUAUAGCCAGAGCCUUACACAUAAAGAACUGAAAAAGUUUAGGUAUUCUUGAUUACAAAGUUCAAUAAAUUAAGUCAUCAACUUUUAGAGUUUGGAAGAAGAAGAAGAAGAUAUCCUUUAUUCUGAAAUGGCCUGAUUACAUUUUUGUACAUUUUUAUUAUUUUUCUUGUUUGGGUUAAGCUUGUACUGUUCCUUCCCGUGAGGAGGUUUGACACAUGUGAGGGACCAUAACCUUUUUUACACGAAACCCAUUUAGGGCCAUAACUCUUUUUUCUUUUAUUUAUUGAGAAUGGGCUGCUAGAUGUAUAAGCUUUAUAUACACUUGAAGAUCUAGACAAUAAUUUUUCCUUUAUUCACAGGUCACAGUUAAUGGUUAAAGCUAAAGAAUUGCCUUAAUAUCUAUAUACUAUACUUAAGACCAUGCACUAGACGGAGAGAGGGAACUCAAAUGUAAUAAAAAUACUAGAUUAAUUAUAACAAUAAUAAUGAACAUUGGUUGAUCAGGUGAUCAGAAUGUGGCUGUUAAGAGUAUAAAUUUGGAAAUCUCCUCUUUUAUUAACUUUCUUUAAAAAAAAAAAAAAAGAAAAACUAAACAUCAGUGUACAAGCAGAGGAACGACAUAGCAUUCAAAGUUACAAUUUACUAGCUAGCUUCACUGAAUCGUUGUUGGUAGAGCUUGCUUAGAUGGACUUCUUGCCAGAGCAGUCAUGGGUUUGUUGCCUUGGUACCCGUUAAGAAAAGAAAGAUGUGAAAACAGGAAAUCAAAUAAAAAACCUUUAGUCAUUGUUUGUUUGUUUUGGAUUAGUGAUGUGAAAAUGGGAAAUCAAAUGAAAAGAACUUAAAUCAAGAAAAAGAAAGGCACAUUUUUUAUUUUUUGGAAUAAGAAAAGAAGAGUUUAUGCAGGGAUUCUUUGCCUUGCCUUCGCGAUGCAGUGAGAAAGAGAGAGAUGAGAGUGAGGGUGAGAAAUUGAGGUGAAAAAUGGCAUGACAAUGAAUUAAGGGAGUGAGGAUGAGGAAUUGAGAAUUUUGAGAGUAAGGAUUGAGUAGAGGAGGAUGAGAAUCGAAUUUGAGAGUAAUCUCACAGAGGAGGUGGGCAGGCAGCAUGAAUGAGAGAUAGUUAGGGUUUUAUAAUACAUACAUAUGCAUAGAGUUAAAUGGUGUGUAUUAAAAUUCGGUCGGUUUGGUUACUACUUUUCUUUUUUUAAUGAAUUAACUGAACUGAACUGAUUAAUUGAAAUUUUUUAAAAUUCAAACCCGAAUUAGAUAUGUUUGGUUUGUUUUUUUGACUCGGCCAUAGUUUGCUUUCUGAAAGUUAUAAAAAUGUCUGGAAGUUCUUCUAAAUUCAAGGGAACUUUGUAGACGACUUUGAAUUUUCUGAAUGGGAUAUUUGUACAACGAUAGUAGAGUCUUGGUAAUGGUAAAAUCUCUGAAACAAAGAUUCUGUGGACAUCUGUUGUAGGUAUAGAAUUUUAUUUGGGACAAGGAGGGGUUGACUGUCCAAAUAAACCCUCAAAUUUAAAUUGGGCCGAACUGAAGCAAUAAUUUUUAGUAUUGUGUCAAAUUAACCCAUGGUUUUGAC